GAAGAAGAAGUUGGUGCUGCAAGGAGAUGCCUACGAGAAAUCACUGAGAAGCUGCCUGAAUACUACUGGAAGACUGGCUGUAUGUGAUCUGGCUGCCAUCUGUGAUUGUGCAGAUGUCACCCUAACCUUUGGGAUUGAAGUUUUAAUGGCAAGGUUAUAAGCUACCUUGGUAGCCACAUGACAAGACGAAUUUCCAGGAUGUGUGCAGCCAAAGUCUACUCCCAUAGGCUAGUCCUCUAGACAGCACACUUGAAUUUUCCAUGUGUAUUUGUAAGGAUAACAUGCUCAAGUGAAGGGUUGCCUAUUACCAAGCCAAGUUGUGAUACAGCUGGGACAGCCAAAAUGAACAAAUUGUUGCAUCAGGAUUUCUUGACUAAUAUUAGUGAUCUUGACUGGGUUAGUGAUGUCCUCCAAUUUACAGUUGUUAUUUAAAAAUGUGCUCUAGGCCCUGCUUAUUCCUGCUUUCUGUUCAUAUUCUCAUUUAUCCCAGUCCCAUAGUUUCCUGGUGUGGGUAGGCUGGCUGUACAGAAGGGAGCAGCUGAUGCAGAGAUGUGCUCAUGACCCUGUUUGGGGCUGUCCUGGCAUCACUCAGUCAAAUACCACCUGGCUGCAGCUUUGGUAACAUUGUGCUAGAGCCUGGUGUUUACCUCAGUUAGGAGAAAGUGCUGCCUGUGCCUCACUUGCACUGAUCUGCUUUUGAGACAAGCAGUGCCCAGCCACCCGAGCCAGGCAACCUUGGACCUUGGGUUUAAACAGUGUCCAAACCCUCCUCUGUGCCUCCCUUCUCUGACUGCAGCACAAACUGGUUUUCUGAGCAGUAUUAAACUCUGAUGUGCAUAUUUUAGUUUUACAGUUUGGGCAUCACUUUAGUCAAAAUGAGUUGAUUCUAAGUGGGGCAUUUGGGAAUUUGCCAUGACUGUAUUUAUUCCCCAGUCCUAUAUUAUU